AAUCAACGCUGGCGGCGUGCCUCAGACAUGCAAGUCGAACGAUUAAACUCUCCUUCGGGGAAGAUAUAGAGUGGCGCACGGGUGAGUAACACGUAAGUAAUCUACCCUUGGGUGGGGAAUAACAUCGGGAAACCGAUGCUAAUACCGCAUAAUGCAGCGGCUUCUUAUGAAGACAGUUGUUAAAGCAUUUAUGUGCCUGAGGAGGAGCUUGCGGCAGAUUAGCUAGUUGGUAAGGUAAUGGCUUACCAAGGCGACGAUCUGUAGCCGACCUGAGAGGGUGGUCGGUCACACUGACACUGAAUAACGGGUC
rnacentral:rRNA from 1 species